UUAAUACUCCCUCCGUCCGGAAAUACUUGUCGAAGGAAUGGAUGUAUCUAGAUACAUUUUAGUUCUAGAUACAUUCAUUUCUAUCCAUUUUGCGACAAGUAAU
rnacentral:pre_miRNA from 1 species